GGGGGUGCAGCUCAGUGGUACAGCACUUGUCUAGCAUGCAAGAGGCUCUGGGUUCCAUCCCAGCACCAUGA
rnacentral:tRNA from 1 species